rnacentral:rRNA from 1 species
AUUGAACGCUGGCGGCAGGCCUAACACAUGCAAGUCGAGCGGCAGCGGAAAGUAGCUUGCUACUUUUGCCGGCGAGCGGCGGACGGGUGAGUAAUGCCUGGGAAAUUGCCCAGUCGAGGGGGAUAACAGUUGGAAACGACUGCUAAUACCGCAUACGCCCUACGGGGGAAAGCAGGGGACCUUCGGGCCUUGCGCGAUUGGAUAUGCCCAGGUGGGAUUAGCUAGUUGGUGAGGUGAUGGCUCACCAAGGCGACGAUCCCUGGCUGGUCUGAGAGGAUGAUCAGCCACACUGGAACUGAGACACGGUCCAGACUCCUACGGGAGGCAGCAGUGGGGAAUAUUGCACAAUGGGGGAAACCCUGAUGCAGCCAUGCCGCGUGUGUGAAGAAGGCCUUCGGGUUGUAAAGCACUUUCAGCGAGGAGGAAAGGUUGAUGCCUAAUACGUAUCAACUGUGACGUUACUCGCAGAAGAAGCACCGGCUAACUCCGUGCCAGCAGCCGCGGUAAAAC